rnacentral:rRNA from 1 species
GACAGAGGGUGCAAACGUUGCUCGGAAUCACUGGGCGUAAAGGGCGUGUAGGCGGGAAGGAAAGUCAGAUGUGAAAUCCCCAGGCUCAACCUGGGAACUGCAUUUGAAACUCCCUUUCUUGAGUACCGGAGAGGAAAGUGGAAUUCCUGGUGUAGAGGUGAAAUUCGUAGAUAUCAGGAGGAACACCAGUGGCGGAAGGCGGCUUUCUGGACGGUAACUGACGCUGGAGACGGCGAAAGCCGUGGGGAGCAAACAGG